UUCUGGAGUUCUAUCGCGCUUACUCACACACUAAAAAGCCACUUAUAGUGGCUUGUCCCAAGUGAGUGGGAAAUUCGGUGGUACACUUCUCUCAUUCUAAACACCUCUUGAGAGGCUGAUGUGGAAACACAGGACAGGGCCAUCAGAAAACAAGAGUACUUGUACUCUAUGGGAGGUCCUGCGAGAGAUUGGGCUCUGGAUAACAGAGUCUCUUUAGUGCAAUGCGCGAUUCAGCUAAAGCUGAAACUCGAUACCGAUCAUGAACACAGAA
rnacentral:RNase_P_RNA from 2 species